rnacentral:rRNA from 1 species
AGCGACCUUGCCUCGUGGUGGGGGAUAGCCGGCCCAACGGCCGGGUAAUACCGCAUAGGGUAGUUUCUUCGCAUGGGGAGACUAGCAAAGCCCUGGAGCAAUCCAGUGGCGCCACAGGGGGGCUCGCGGCCUAUCAGCUAGUUGGGGGGGUAAUGGCCCACCAAGGCGACGACGGGUAGCUGGUCUGAGAGGAUGGCCAGCCACAUUGGGACUGAGAGACGGCCCACG